CGCGCGUCCUUUCUUUCGGAGCUCUCCGCUGCUCUUAGCUGAGCGGUGGAGGGAGACGGAUCGUUUACUUUGAAAAAAUCAGAGUGUUUCAAGCAGGCAGCUCGCUCUUGCAUGGAUUAGCAUGGGAUAAUGAAAUAGGACUCUGGUGCUAUUUUGUUGGUUUCGAACACCGGAGUAAUGGUCAACAGGGACAGUCAGGGGCACUCGUAUUCCGCCGAGAGAGGUGAAAUUCUCAGACCAGCGGAAGACGAACCACUGCGAAAGCAUUUGCCAGGGAUGUUUUCACUGAUCAAGAACGAAAGUUAGGGGAUCGAAGACGAUCAGAUACCGUCGUAGUCUUAACCAUAAACCAUGCCGACUAGGGAUUGGGGGCUGUUCCUUUUGUGACUCCCUCAGCACCUUUCGGGAAACUAAAGUCUUUGGGUUCCGGGGGGAGUAUGGUCGCAAGGCUGAAACUUAAAGGAAUUGACGGAAGGGCACCACCAGGAGUGGAGCCUGCGGCUUAAUUUGACUCAACACGGGGAAACUUACCAGGUCCAGACAUUGUGAGGAUUGACAGAUUGAGAGCUCUUUCUUGAUUCGAUGGGUGGUGGUGCAUGGCCGUUCUUAGUUGGUGGAGUGAUUUGUCUGG
rnacentral:rRNA from 1 species